rnacentral:rRNA from 1 species
GACGAACGCUGGCGGCGUGCCUAAUACAUGCAAGUCGAGCGAAGUUUUUCUGGUGCUUGCACUAGAAAAACUUAGCGGCGAACGGGUGAGUAACACGUAAAGAACCUGCCUCAUAGACUGGGACAACUAUUGGAAACGAUAGCUAAUACCGGAUAACAGUAUUUCUCGCAUGAGAGAUAUUUAAAAGUUGGUUAUGCUAACACUAUGAGAUGGCUUUGCGGUGCAUUAGCUAGUUGGUGGGGUAAAGGCCCACCAAGGCGACGAUGCAUAGCCGACCUGAGAGGGUGAUCGGCCACACUGGGACUGAGACACGGCCCAGACUCCUACGGGAGGCAGCAGUAGGGAAUCUUCCGCAAUGGGCGAAAGCCUGAUGGAGCAACGCCGCGUGAGUGAAGAAGGAUUUCGGUUCGUAAAGCUCUGUUGUUAGGGAAGAAUGGAUAUGUAGUAACUAUACAUGUAAGAGACGGUACCUAACCAGAAAGCCACGGCUAACUACGUG